rnacentral:rRNA from 1 species
UACGUAGGGUGCGAGCGUUGUCCGGAAUUACUGGGCGUAAAGAGCUCGUAGGUGGUUUGUCGCGUUGUCCGUGAAAACUCACAACUCAAUUGUGGGCGUGCGGGCGAUACGGGCAGACUGGAGUACUGCAGGGGAGACUGGAAUUCCUGGUGUAGCGGUGGAAUGCGCAGAUAUCAGGAAGAACACCAAUGGCGAAAGCAGCUUUCUGGGACGGUACUGACGCUGAGACGCGAAAGCGUGGGGAGCGAACAGG